rnacentral:rRNA from 1 species
AGUGAGGAAUAUUGGUCAAUGGGCGCAAGCCUGAACCAGCCAUCCCGCGUGAAGGAUGACUGCCCUAUGGGUUGUAAACUUCUUUUCUGCACCAAGAAACUUGCCCUCGUGAGGGUAGCUGACGGUAGUGUAGGAAUAAGCAUCGGCUAACUCCGUGCCAGCAGCCGCGGUAAUACGGAGGAUGCAAGCGUUAUCCGGAUUUAUUGGGUUUAAAGGGUCCGCAGGCGGACCGGUAAGUCAGUGGUGAAAUCCUGCAGCUUAACUGUAGAACUGCCAUUGAUACUGUCGGUCUUGAGUAUGGUCGAGGUAGGCGGAAUGAGUAGUGUAGCGGUGAAAUGCUUAGAUAUUACUCAGAACACCGAUUGCGAAGGCAGCUUACUAGGCCAUUACUGACGCUGAUGGACGAAAGCGUGGGGAGCGAACAGGAUUAGAUACCCUGGUAGUCCACGCCGUAAACGAUGCUCACUCGCUGCUUGCGAUACAUUGUAAGUGGCCAAGCGAAAGUUUUAAGUGAGCCACCUGGGGAGUACGAUCGCAAGGUUG